rnacentral:lncRNA from 1 species
GAGGAAGAGUAGGAAAACUAGUGGAAGUAGUGGUAGGAGAAAGAGGAGGAGGAGUGGCUGAAGUAGGAGUAUGUGGGUGGUGGUAAGUUGGGGUAUUUGGUGAUGGAAGAUGAUGAGGUUGGAAUGUAAAAGAAGAGGUAGGUGUGGUUGGGAUUGAAAUAGAAGGGGACUUGUUCUGGUGGUGGUGGUGGUGGUGAUGGUGGUGACCGUGGUGAUGGGAGUGGUGAAAGUGAGGGCUUGGUGGAUGUUGAGGUUGAAUAUCAGGUGGAUAAAGAGGUAGACCUUGGCGCUGAUGUCUCUUCACUCUUGUGUUCCAGUAAUUCUUGAUUUCGUUGUCUGUUCGUCCUGGAA